rnacentral:rRNA from 1 species
UACGUAGGGUGCGAGCGUUGUCCGGAAUUAUUGGGCGUAAAGGGCUCGUAGGCGGUCUGUCGCGUCGGGAGUGAAAACUCGGGGGCUUAACUCCGAGCCUGCUUCUGAUACGGGCAGACUAGAGGUAUGCAGGGGAGAAUGGAAUUCCUGGUGUAGCGGUGAAAUGCGUAGAUAUCUGGAGGAACACCGGUGGCGAAGGCGGCAUCCUGGACCGGCAUUGACGCUGAGGCGCGAAAGCCAGGGGAGCAAACGGG